ACGCUCGACACCUACGGGGGGCAGCAGUGGGGAAUAUUGCACAAUGGGGGAAACCCUGAUGCAGCGACGCCGCGUGAGCGAAGAAGUAUUUCGGUAUGUAAAGCUCUAUCAGCAGGGAAGAAAUUGACGGUACCUGACUAAGAAGCACCGGCUAAAUACGUGCCAGCNGCCGNGUAUCNGNGGCGGGUCGUCGGACGAAGGC
rnacentral:rRNA from 1 species